rnacentral:rRNA from 1 species
AGAUCCCCGCAUGUAGCAAUACAAGUGGGGUGAAAGUGGCGUAAGGGUGCGUAACGCGUGGGCAACCUGCCCUCAAGCUUGGGAUAACUCCGCGAAAGCGGUGCUAAUACCGAAUGUGGAGGCUCGUCGCAUGGCGAGUUGUCUGAAGGUAGGGACCCUUCGGGGCCUGCCACUUGAGGAGGGGCCUGCGUCCCAUCAGCUAGUUGGUAGGGUAACGGCCUACCAAGGCUUACGGGUAGCUGGUCUGAGAGGAUGGUCAGCCACACUGGGACUGAGACACUGCCCAGACUCCUACGGGAGGCUGCAGUCGAGAAUCUUUUGCAAUGCGCGAAAGCGUGACAAAGCGACGCUGCGUGGAGGAUGAAGGCCUUCGGGUUGUAAACUCCUGUCAUUCGGGAAAAAGGCUCCCGGCGUGAAUAGCGCCGGGACUCGAUGGUACCGGAAGAGGAAGCCGCUGCCAACUCUGUGCCAGCAGCAGCGGUGAUACAGAGGCGGCAAGCGUUGUUCGGAUUUACUGGGCGUAAAGGGUGCGUAGGUGGUUCCGUACGUCGGAUGUGAAAUCCCACGGCUCAACUGUGGAAUGGCAUUCGAAACCGCGGAACUUGAGUGCAGGAGGGGAGAGCGGAAUUCUCGGUGUAGCGGUGAAAUGCGUUGAUAUCGAGAAGAACGCCGGCGGCGAAGGCGGCUCUCUGGAAUGUAACUGACACUGAGGCACGAAAGCUGGGGGAGCAAACAGGAUUAGAUACCC